GCAGGGUCCCGCUCGAUCACGCGCUUCGUGAACUCCGUCAGAUCCGGAAGGAAGCAGCGGUAGCGAGGCGACGUGUUGCGAGCGGGGGCGCCCUGCG
rnacentral:SRP_RNA from 1 species